UUGGCUAAGAAAAUAUGGUUGUUUUAGUCUGUCUACUUGGCUGAGGCCAUAUCAUUGUUUUAGUCUGUCUACUGGGCUGGGGCCAUAUCAUUGUUUUAGUCUGUCUACAUGACUGAGGCCAUAUGGUUGAUUUAGUUUGUCUACAUGGCUGAGGCCAUAUGGUUGAUUUAGUUUGUCUACAUGGCUGAGGCCAUAUGGUUGAUUUAGUUUGUCUACAUGGCUGAGGCCAUAUGGUUGUUUUAGUCUGACUACUGGGCUGAGGCCAUAUCAUUGUUUUAGUCUGACUUCUGGGCUGAGGCCAUAUCAUUGUUUUAGUCUGACUACUUUGCUGGUUGUUUUAGUUUGUCUACAUGGCUGAGGCCAUCUAGUUGUUUUAGUCUGACUACUUUGCUGAGGCCAUGUGGUUGUUUUAGUCUGACUACUUUGCUGGUCUUUUUAGUCUGACUACUUUGCUGGUUGUUUUAGUCUGACUACUUUGCUGGUUGUUUUAGUCUGUCUACUUUGCUGGUUGUUUUCGUCUGAUUACUUUGCUGGUUGUUUUAGUCUGACUACUUUGCUGGUUGUUUUAGUCUGACUUCUUUGCUGGUUGUUUUAGUCUGACUACUUUGCUGGUUGUUUUAGUCUGACUACUUUGCUGGUUGUUUUAGUCUGACUACUUUGCUGGUUGUUUUAGUCUGACUACUUUGCUGGUUGUUUUAGUCUGACUACUUUGCUAAGGCCAUCUGGUAGUUUUAGUCAGACUACUUUGCUGGAUGUUUUAGUCUGACUACUUUGCUGGUUGUUUUAGUGUGACUACUUUGCUAAGGCCAUCUGGUUGUUUUAGUCUGUAUACUUCGCUGAGGCAAUAUAGUUGUUUAGUCUUUCUGCUUGGCUGAGGCCACAUCAUUGUUUUAGUCUGUCUACUGGGCUGAGGCCAUAUCAUUGUUUUAGUCUGUCUACUGGGCUGAGGCCAUAUCAUUGUUUUAGUCUGUCUACUGGGCUGAGGCCAUAUCAUUGUUUUAGUCUGACUA
ensembl:lncRNA